rnacentral:lncRNA from 1 species
AGCGGCGGCGCAGGCGCGGAGAGGCGCACAGCGCAGGCGCUGGCGCGGAGAGGCGCAGGCCCAGGUCCACUCCCCAGCUGUGAAAGGAGGAGCUCUACGGUGACUUUGAAGACUUGGAAACAGGGGACAUGCACAAGGGAAAAUCGGGCCCCGACACUCAGAAUGAAGAUAUAGAGAAACAAGGAAGAAAUUGACCCCGACGAAGAAGAAAGUGCCAAGAAAAAGCAUUUGGAUAAGAAGAGAAAAUUGAAGGAGAUGUUUGAUGCGGAAUAUGAUGAAGGAGAAAGCACAUAUUUUGAUGAUCUUAAAGGAGAAAUGCAGAAAGAAGCACAGCUGAAUCACGUAGAAUUUGAAGAUCAAGAUGAUGAAGCCAGAGUUCAGUAUGAUGGUUUUCGACCUGGGAUGUACGUCCGCGUUGAGAUUGAAAAUGUUCCCUGUGAAUUUGUGCAGAACUUUGACCCCCAUUACCCCAUUAUCCUGGGUGGCUUGGGCAACAGCGAGGGAAAUGUUGGACACGUGCAGAUGCGUCUGAAGAAACAUCGCUGGUAUAAGAAAAUCCUCAAGUCCCAAGAUCCAAUCAUAUUUUCUGUAGGGUGGAGGAGGUUUCAGACCAUCCUGCUCUAUUAUAUUGAAGACCACAAUGGAAGACAAAGGCUUCUAAAGUAUACCCCACAGCACAUGCAUUGUGGAGCAGCCUUUUGGGCCUGAUUUUCGGAUAGCUGCCACAGGAGUUGUCCUUGAUCUGGAUAAAUCCAUAAAAAUUGUGAAGAAAUUAAAGCUAACUGGUUUUCCAUAUAAAAUUUUCAAGAACACUUCAUUUAUUAAGAUAUUGUCUUCAUGCGAACUUGGUAUCCUGUUUCCAUCCCAGCCUUCUAUAACCCAGUAACAUCUUUGUUGAAACCAGUGGGUGAGAAAGACACCUGGUCAGGAAUGUGGACCACGGGCCACCUCGGGCUCGCCCAUGGUGUCAGACUAAAGACAAACAAGGACUCUCUGUAUAAGGUACUGGUCGUGUGUGUGUUAGUGGAGAUGAAGCCUGUGCCCUACAGACAGGGAGUCACGCAGACACUUUUCUAUAAUUUCUUACGUACUUUGAAUGUUCAAGUAUAAAGUCUAAUGUUAAAUUUGAUUGAACAAUUGUAUAUUUGUGGGAUAUUUUGGAAUGGAACACCAAAAAAUGGUAAUAGUGGUUCUUUCUGGAUUGAAGACAAACUUUUCUUUUUUAAAAUAAAUUUUAUUUUAUAUAUUUGAGGUUGACAACAUGAUCUUAAAGGAUAAAUAUAGAUAGUAAACUGGUUACUAUAGUGAAGCAAAUUAACAUAGCUACCAUCUCACAUAGUUAGAUUUUUGUUUGUGUGACAGGAACAGCUAAAAUCUACUUAUUUAACAAAAAUCCCAAAGACAAUAUAUUUUUAUUAACUAUAGCCCUCAUGAUGUACACUAGAUCUCUAACUUGUUCAUCCUACAUGUCUGCUACUUUGUAUUAUUUUAAUGUACAUCUCCCCAUUUCCUACUGGUCAUUUCCUAUUUGGCCCAUUUUUCAACUGGGUUGUUUUUCUGCUAUUAAGUUGUAAGAGUUCUUUACUGAUUUUUGGAUAUUAACACUUUAUCAGAUAUGUGGUUUGCAAAUAUUUCUUCCAGUCUAUAGGUUCCCCUUUCAUUUUGUUGGUUGUUCCUUUGCUGUGCAGAAGCUUUUUAGUUUGAUGCAGUCCUCCUUGUUUAUGUUUACAUUUGUAGCCUGGCUUGUGGUGCGAUAUCCAAAAAAUUAUUGCUAAGGCCAAUGUCAAGAGGCUUUCCCCCUAUGUUUUCUUCUAGGAGUUUUAUGGUUUCAGGUCUUAUUUGGGUCUUUGGUCUUGUAUCUGUUUUGAGUUGAUUUUUGUGUAUGGUGUAUGAUCAGGGUCGAAUUUUAUUCUUUUGCAUGUGAAAAUCCUAUUAUUGAAGAAACUAUCUUUUUUACCAUUGUGUUGUCUUGUUUGCCCUUGUCAAAAAUUAGUUGACAGUAUAUGUUUGGAUUUAUUUCAAAGGUCUCUGUUCUGUUCCAUUGGUCUAUUUUUUUGUUUUUAUGCCAGCACCAUACUGUUUUGAUUACUAUAGCUUUGUAAUACAAUUUUAAAUCAAGAGGUGUGAUGCCUCCAACUUUUUCUUUCACAGUUAUCUGUUGGCUGUUUGGGGUUUUUUGCGGUUCCAUAUGAGUUUCAGGAUUGUUUUUUCUUUUCUUUUAUUUAUUUAUUUUUUUUUUUGAGGUGAAGUCUCACUCUGUCACCCAAGCUGGAGUGCAGUGGCAUAAUCUCGGCUCACUAAAACCUCUGCCUCCUGGAUUCAAGCAAUUCUUCUGCCUCAGCCUCCCAGGUAGCUGGGACUACAGGCACAUGCCACUAUGCCUGGCCAAUUUUUGUAGUUUUAGUAGAGACAGGGUUUCACUAUGUUGGCCGGGCUGGUCUCCAACUCCUGACCUCGUGAUCCGCCCACUGCGGUCUCCCAAAGUGCUGGAAUUACAGGCGUGAGCCACUGUGCCUGGCCAGGAUUGUUUUAUUCUGUUCUGUGAAGAAUGUCAUCAGAACUUUGAUGAGGAUUGUGUUAAAUCUGUAUAUUUGCUUUGGGUAGUGUGAACAUUUUAACAAUAUUAAUUCUUCUGAUCCAUAAACAUAGGAUGUCUUUUCAUUUGUUCAUGUCUAAAUUUCUUUCAUCAAUGUUUUAUGGUUUUUAAGUGUACACAUCUCUCACCUUCUUGGUUAAAUUUAUUCCUAAGUUUUUGUUUUUCUUUGAUGCUAUAGUAAAUGAGAUUAUUUUCUUCAUUGCUUCGUCAGCUAGGUUAUUUGUAUACAGAAAUGCAACUGAUUUUUAUAUGUUGAGUUUAUACCUUGCAGCUUAACUGAAUUGAUUUAGUAGUUCUCACAGUUUUUUGUGGAAUCUUUGGAGUUUUUUACGUAAAGGAUCUUGUCAUCUGCAAAUAGAGAUAAUUUUACUUCUUUAA